UACGGAGGAUGCGAGCGUUAUCCGGAUUUAUUGGGUUUAAAGGGUGCGUAGGCGGUCCGGAAAGUCAGCGGUAAAAGCCCGGGGCUCAACCCCGGCGAGCCGUUGAAACUGUCGGACUAGAGACGGCGAGAAGUACGCGGAAUGCGCGGUGUAGCGGUGAAAUGCAUGGAUAUCGCGCAGAACUCCGAUUGCGAAGGCAGCGUACCGGCGCCGGACUGACGCUGAGGCACGAAAGCGUGGGUAUCGAACAGG
rnacentral:rRNA from 1 species